AGUGAACGCUGGCGGUAGGCCUAACACAUGCAAGUCGAACGGCAGCACAGUAAGAGCUUGCUCUUACGGGUGGCGAGUGGCGGACGGGUGAGGAAUACAUCGGAAUCUACUUUUUCGUGGGGGAUAACGUAGGGAAACUUACGCUAAUACCGCAUACGACCUACGGGUGAAAGCAGGGGAUCUUCGGACCUUGCGCGAUUGAAUGAGCCGAUGUCGGAUUAGCUAGUUGGCGGGGUAAAGGCCCACCAAGGCGACGAUCCGUAGCUGGUCUGAGAGGAUGAUCCGGCACACUGGAACUGAGACACGGUCCAGACUCCUACGGGAGGCAGCAGUGGGGAAUAUUGGACAAUGGGCGCAAGCCUGAUCCAGCCAUACCGCGUGGGUGAAGAAGGCCUUCGGGUUGUAAAGCCCUUUUGUUGGGAAAGAAAAGCAGCAGGUUAAUACCCCGCUGUUCUGACGGUACCCAAAGAAUAAGCACCGGCUAACUUCGUG
rnacentral:rRNA from 1 species